AGGGUGCCUAUGAGUUAAUAAUUACCUUCUGGAUAGUUUGGGAGGGUAAUUGCCUUUUAUAAAUACAAUCCCUUAACAUACAACGAUAAUGAUUAAGAAUUUUCUUGUAAUUUCCACAAGGCGAUUAUUUCACAGAGCAACAGGCCAGGGUAGGCUGGUGUGGGGAGCAGCGCUGCUGAGAGUCACUGACUUGCAGUGUUACGGACACGGCUCUGCAGAACGAGGCUUGCACCCAACAGAGCACCACAGCCCAGGGAGGCUGAGCUCCUCAUCGCCACACGUCAUCACCACACAUCAUCGCCACACAUUGGACUUAUAUUCAUUUACUGGACCUAAGAGUAUGACACAUCAUCAUGACAAAGUUGAGGAACAAUUAGCACUGCGGCAACCUGAGUGGGAUUCAGGAAAUGCAGUGAGGUCUCGCUGAAAAUCAACUUCGCGUUUCGGAGGAACAUCUGAAGUCAGACUUUACAUAAUGUAAAGAAUAAAGAGCAAAACUCGAGAAAGUCAUAUAA
rnacentral:antisense_RNA from 1 species